rnacentral:lncRNA from 1 species
AUGUCUACCUUCCUCCUGGGACCCUCUAAUAUUGUAAUCUGUCCAUACUCCACGUCCACCGGCUGUUGGGGACCACACGCUUCGUCCACGUGCCCAUAUUCCACCUCCACCGGCGCCUCCCUCUCCUUCUGUCUCAUUUCCUGCCUCAGUAUCCUGACAUCAGCGUAUUCCACAUCCUGGCUGUCACCCUUAACUGUGGAGAGAGGGAGAGAGACAGAAAGAGAGACAGAAAGAGAGAGAGACAGAAAGAGACAGAGAGAGAGAGCCAGAAAGAGAGAGCGAGAGAGCCAGAAAGAGAGAGCGAGAGAGCCGAAAGAGAGAGCGGGAAGAGCCAGAAAGAGAGAGCUGAGAGAGCCAGAAAGAGAGAGCGAGAGAGACAGAAAGAGAAUCGAGAGAGACAGAAAGAGAGAGCGAGAGAGAGACAGAAAUAGAGAGAGCGAGGAGAGAGACAGAAAGAGAGAGCGAGAGAGAGACAGAAAAGAGAGAGCGAAGACAGAAGGGAGAGAGCGAGAGAGAGACAGAGAGAGAGAGCGAGAGAGAGACGAGAAGAGAGAGAGCGAAAGAGAGAGACGAGAGACAGAGAGCGAGAGAGCGCGACAGGAGAAAGAGAGAGGAACAAGGAGAGAGAAGAAAAGAGAGAGCGAGAAGAGAGACAGAAAGAGAGAGAGAGAGAGAGACAGAAGAGAGAGAGACGAGAAGAGAGAGACAAAAAGAGAGAGAGAGAGAGAGAACAGAAAGAGAGAGAGAGCGAGAAGAGAGCACAGAAGAGACAGAAGAGGAGAGAGAGAGAGCAGAAGAGAGCAGCGAGAGAGAGACAGAAAGAGAGAGAGACAGAAAGAGAGACGAAAGAGAGAGCGAAGAGAGAACAGAGAAGAGAGAGAGAGAGAGAGACAGAAAGAGAGAGAGAGAAGCAGAGGACAGAAGAGAGCAGAGAGAGAGACAGAAAAGAGAGAGCGAGAGAGAGACAAAGAGAGAAGAGAUGAGAGAGAGAAGAGAGAGAGAGAGAGGAGAAGAGACAGAAAAGAGAGAGCGAGAGAGAGACAGAAAGAGAGAGCGAGAGAGAGACAGAAAGAGAGAGCGAGAGAGAGACAGAAAGAGAGAGCGAGACAGAGACAGAAAGAGAGAGCGAGACAGAAAGAGAGAGCGAGAGAGAGACAGAGAGAGAAAGAGAAAGAGAUAGAAAGAGAGAGAGAGACAGAGAGAGAGAGAGAUAGAGAGAGACAGAGAGAGAGAGCAAAAUAG